UUAUUAUUAUGGCACCCUCAACGGAGUUGGGGUGACGUAUUGUUAUUCUACGUUUCUUUUUUUUCUUAUUAUGUCACCCGAUCGACAAUGUCGGGUGACAUUUUGCUUUUCCUCUGUUUCUUUUUCCGUAUUAUUAUUAUUAUUAUGUCACCCGAUCGACAAUGUCGGGUGACAUAUUGCUUUUCCUCUGUUUCUUUUUCCCUAUUAUUAUUAUUUUU
rnacentral:lncRNA from 1 species